UACGGAGGGUGCAAGCGUUAUCCGGAAUCACUGGGUUUAAAGGGUGCGUAGGCGGCUUGAUAAGUCAGGGGUGAAAGCUUCCCGCUCAACGGGAGAACUGCCCUUGAUACUGUCAGGCUCGAAUUGGGUUGAGGCAGGCGGAAUGUGGCAUGUAGCGGUGAAAUGCUUAGAUAUGCCAUAGAACACCGAUUGCGAAGGCAGCCUGCCAAGCCUUGAUUGACGCUGAGGCACGAAAGCGUGGGGAGCGAACAGGAUUAGAUACCCUGGUAGUCCACGCCCUAAACGAUGCUUACUCGACGUCCGGCCCUUGCGGUCGUGCGUCCAAGCGAAAGCGUUAAGUAAGCCACCUGGGGAGUACGCCGGCAACGGUGAA
rnacentral:rRNA from 1 species